rnacentral:rRNA from 1 species
GAUGUUUUUUUGGGAUGUAGGGGUAGCGAGGGGAAGGUGGGAGGUGAAGCGGCGGCGGAGGAGAAGUGGUGGUUGGAACAGCGCGCGGAGGCGCGGCGGCGGCGGCGGUACCGCUGGAGUGAGAGUAGGGUGAGGGUCGACGCGCGUACGGGGAGGGUGCGGGUGGCGCGGUGGCACGAGAGGGCGAGGGAGGAGGGGAAGGGCGCGGCGGUGGUGCCGAGGAGGGCGGCGCCGGAGAGGCGGGCGAGGCGGAGGAGGUUGCCGCGGCGCGUCCUGUGGCGGCAGUGGCAUGCGGUGAAACGGCGCCUCGGGUGGUUCCCGCCGUUCGAGAGGCCGCAGUUCUUCUAGUACUAAGAGCCGCGCCCCGGAUAGCAGUAGCCAGUCCGCACGCUCAAGCUGAUGAGGCCGUGUGUCCGAACGUUCCGCGAGCAGCUCCUCCCUAUGCUCCACCACGAGCAGUUGAGGUUGGGCCGGUGGUAGUACUGGCUGGGGCUGGAGCGGGUGGCGUGAAUGUAGCCCGGGUACUGGGGCGGCGAGCAGCUCCCGUAGUAGCGGUCACUCGCGGGGCUACGCGAGGAGGGGUGGUACCCGCCUGUCUGCCGCGAGUUGGAGCGGCAGAGAGAGCGACUUAGGCCGCGCGAGCUAGCCGAGCCACACGCGGAGUAGCCGCGAAGGGAGGGACGAUAGGCGCGACGCCUCCUGGCGGUCGAGAAGUUCGUCCGGUACCUGGCGUAGCCUGAGUUCUGCGGGGGGAGACCGUAGCCGUGGUGCGAGCUCCUCACGGAGCGUUAGCGGUUCCUGUAACCACUCAAGGGGGACUAACAGGCUGGUCGAAAGUGUGAACCACCGUGACCCCCUCCGUAGCGGAUAUUGUCCCGGCUCAAACUCCUGUAAACGGCCAGACCAGACCGCCGAAGUGUGUGCGUCGUCCACGAACACCUCUUUAGGGACGAGCCCACCUUCCUCAUGCUCGACCUCCACUACGCACUGUACCGGCUGUUACACCAGUAGUAGACGAGGUAACUCUUAUAGCUGGGGUACCCGCACGUAUGUCCGCUAAGUUAGUGCCACCGCGGACGAGUCUGCGAGUGACUAUUCCUCAUGGUCUCUGAGUCCCUGGUGAGACACCGGUAGUAGGCCCUCUAACCACACCUCACGCCACCAAGGUUACACGUCAAGCGACACUUGGGAUGUCUACCCCUCCAGUACCACUAACUCUACUUGGGGUCCCAAAGUUCCAGUAGUCGAGAACGUAGUUUCCGCUGACCCAAGGGCUAUCGGUUCUACCGUCGUUUUGAGAGUCAUCCAAUAUGCAACCUGGUCUAAGGUUUACUAUAGUGUUUCUUCUGCGGACGAUCGAAACUCGGGAGAUAACUGAUACAACAGUGUUUCUAUGGCGCUAAACGCAAACUCUUUAAGGGACCAAGACUUGGUUAUAAUUGGUGUGUCUACUUCAGACAACCACUCAGUUACCGUAAUCCCGCCUGGAAGGUCCUUAGAAAGGUCUUUCGACAAGCAAGGAACCUCUGACCGAAACGUCCCACCCCAACACGUGGGUAGUUCCUUGAACUGACCCUGACCCUUUUCUAUUUUAUAUCGAAUGCACAUGGAUUAGGUCUAGCAUAGGUACGACAAAUACGACGAAAGUUCUUUCCGUACUCCCAACUUCUGUAUGUACUUUAAUCAAAAUAACUAUUUACCAAAGAAUGUCUCGAGUUCCUCGAUCAACUACAACUCGUCAAGGAACAAAGUUUCUUGAAUCUGGUCGAGAGUUUUCUACUGAAGAUAGUUCACUUCUCCUCCCCAAAAUCACUGUUCGUCUAACGUAAACGCUGUAGAAGCAGUCUUUCACUACACUCUCGCUCCGCAAGACGUAAUCCUCAGUGAGGCUGUAUGUUCGCACAACUAUGGACACGGCGACUCAAACUUCGGUUGUGGGGCAUAUACAUGAGAAGUAUACUCAUACUUACGCUCAGUCGAGGUUGAUUAGCCUUCUUUCAGAAUUAUAACCCACCACCUGGGUUAUCCUAUCCCGUCCCAUAACUCAAACUAAUGACGACAACGGUACGGAGUAAACGCGAGGCUCUCCGGCCUAUACUCUGAUAUUACUACUUGAGGUUAGGCCUCUGACAGAGUUGACUGAUACUAUGGUCGCUGGCCGACAUGAAACUUGGUAACUGUCAACUCCUACAUUGUUUACAGUAACUAAACCUCGCGGGUCUACCAUAUUAACACGUCAUGCCUCCCGUUUGAGGAGAUUUCGAGCGGGAAGGUUAUGUUGCGGUAGAUCUCCUCUUCUUCGACGCCAGACGAAGUCCGUGUCCUAAACACUUCUAUACCCCUUGCAGUGGGCUAAGAUAACUACGGCGUCUCCUGUCUUUUUCUAAAUUGCGUUAAGAACUUCUCGAACCCUAACUCGUUGGAUUUCCUCCCUAUCGUUCUUCACUCAGACUACGCAACAGUUAACGAAGUCUUCAUCCGAUGGGACAACAACAGGCCGGGAGUAUACAAGAACCACCUGCUCGUUACCUCUAACACAUGUUACUACUUUUUAACUAUUUCAUGGAACGCUGACGUCACGUUCAUCUAGGUCUUGCCGGACAGGACCACCUAUUUAUAGACUUACUACGUUAACUUUAACUAUAACUACGUAAUCGUCUGAGUCAACCCUUACAACACUAGCCACCUUAAUACCUCGUAUAACUCGUCCGACCAUAUGUAAGACCACUAAGACGUACAAGGGAAGGGUGAUCUUGCCAGAGUUGGUUCACGAAUCUAUAAUAAGCCAGUACCUGGUGUUUCGAACGUUUCGCAGAGUUACAGACACCCGAGUACUUGACGGUCAUGCGAUAGUGAGGAUGACCACUCCACAUGGAAGAACUCCGUUUAGGAGCUCGAAGUGCGUGUCAGGGAAAACAGAGUUUUCGUUAACCGGUGGGUAACCGAUUUAUACGUAGAGAUUAGUACAGACCUCACUGGAACGGUCUCGAACCCAAAUGCUUUCUUCACUAAGGAUUCGUACAAAGACAGUUCCUCCGACAAGAAGGUAAACUCUUUAAGGUUCCGACACUGUAAGAAGAACCUGGUCUCUACGCGUCGUGACCUCUCCAAUACCCGUAACUGAUACUCAAAAGACCACGCAAACGCUUCCGGGUCUAACGGCGACCUGUCUAUGAGGGAUAUUCACCGUGACACAAACAAUCGGAUUUACUGAACUGAUUUGCGGUGGAACGACUUUAACCCGCACCCAAGGCACUUGAACCCAAGUUGUAGUAACGUUGUAGACCUUGUCGGUUUCAUGAAGUCGAACUCCCGUAGGGUCACCUCGGUCAAGACUUCUAUGUACUCCCCGCCGGUUUACGGUCUCUAUACGAGUUCUUACCAGUCUAUGUCCACUACCACUAUUGUUCGAGUCCGCUACUGGAACUGAGCUCUCUACCGGAGGUCGACGCAUCCGAUCGAGACCGGAUGUUCCACGGGUAUUAGUGUUGACACCUACCACGUGCCCGAUGGUACCUGCGGUAGUUCUCAUACUUCUUGUUCAGUUAACUCUAAGAACGUAACGUUCUGAUAAAGGUCGGACGGCUACGUGGUGUCUUCAACGGGCGACGUGUUCGACGGGGAAUCCCAGUACAUGGGAGUACGAGCGGGAAAAGGUAGAUUACAGAAAUAAUAAGAUUAUAUACUUGAUCUUAGGACGCGGUACAUCCUAAAACAAAUGGACGACGAUGCUAUCAGCGUGGAUGACGUACGCGUUUCCGUUCACAGCCGGACCUCUAGUGUAAACCAACGACUCGCAACCCUCAGUCUUUAACUAUAACCCCUAUAAACAUAAAAAUGGUACAUUCUCAUCCCAGCCGUAGAUGGAUAUCUUAUUCCGGAGGUCAACGUUAGACUACCACCAUAGUAGAGGGUAUGACCUCGUACAUGAACAUAGGGGCUCCACGUUUAAACUCGUUGAAUAGAUAUAACAUGACAUAAACAGGGGUUUGUAACACUACUAUUAAAAAUAGACGGUACGAGGACCAAUAGGGGCUCCGC